rnacentral:rRNA from 1 species
GAUGAACGCUAGCUACAGGCUUAACACAUGCAGGUCGAGGGGAAACGAUAGAGAAAGCUUGCUUUUUCUAGGCGUCGACCGGCGCACGGGUGAGUAACGCGUAUCCAACCUGCCCAUCACUUGGGGAUAACCUUGCGAAAGUAAGACUAAUACCCAAUGAUAUCUCUAGAAGACAUCUGAAGGAGAUUAAAGAUUUAUCGGUGAUGGAUGGGGAUGCGUCUGAGUAGCUUGUUGGCGGGGUAACGGCCCACCAAGGCGACGAUCAGUAGGGGUUCUGAGAGGAAGGUCCCCCACAUUGGAACUGAGACACGGUCCAAACUCCUACGGGAGGCAGCAGUGAGGAAUAUUGGUCAAUGGGCGAGAGCCUGAACCAGCCAAGUAGCGUGCAGGAUGACGGCCCUAUGGGUUGUAAACUGCUUUUAUAAGGGAAUAAAGUGAGCCUCGUGAGGCUUUUUGCAUGUACCUUAUGAAUAAGGACCGGCUAAUUCCGUGCCAGCCGCCGCGGUAA